rnacentral:lncRNA from 1 species
AGAGUGAUUACAGGAGAUGGGAAAGUUUGAGAGAUUGAGAACAGGAAAUGGGCAAGUGUGAGAGAGUGGGUGAGAGCAGGAGAUGGGGAAAGUGUGAGAGAGAACAGGAGAUGGAAAAGUGUGAGAGAGAACAGGAGAUGUGAAAUUGUGAGAGAGUAUCAGAGAUGGGAAAGUGUGAGAGAGAACAGGAGAUGGGAAAGUGUGAGAGCGAACAGGAGAUGGGAAAUUGUGAGAGAGUAUCAGAGAUGGGAAAGUGUGAGAGAGAACAGGAGAUGUGAGAGGGUGAGAACAGGAGAUGGGGAAAGUGAGAGCGAGAGAGAGAGGGAGAGGAAGAGGAUUGUUUGAUGAGCCUAAUGAAGAUUAAUCACCCAGAGAGGCAGCUGUUGCCCCCCACCUCCUAGCAGAGAUACAGGAAACUCAUCUAAUCUAUCAAAGUGCUCAUAUUACGGCUGAGGUUUGUCGACAGGCGGUACGCAGACACUCCAAACAGAUUGAGACACGGGUGCAUCUACAUCAUGGGAGCCAAAGGGUGUCACUGGCAGAGCCCAGAAGACCACAGUAAGAUCUACGAGGGAUCUACUACUGUUCCUCUGCAGGCUCUCCAGUGUGGGAAGCAUCCUGGGCUCCUUGUGGGUGUUUGAUUCCUGGUCCACACCCAGAGAACCCCUGUGUAUCUGUGAGUCCACAGUCACCACAAUGAAGAAGGACCAUUAGGAUGGAGCCAUCUGCCUCCACUUCUCCCCUGCUGGGAUAGACAAGACUAUUCUUAUUUUCUGAGGGCUGUAUUGAAAUGUCCUCCAGGACUGUAAUACAAUUAUUAAAUCAUUUCUGCAAACAAAAAUUGUACACAAAGUGAAAACAAUCUAGUGGUAUCCCUCUGUGCAUCAGUCAGGCAGCAUACUGUGCUCUUUAUUUGAGUAGUUACUCUUGUUGGGGCAGACUUGGUUUGC